rnacentral:rRNA from 1 species
UUCGGCCUGCCGGCGAGUGGCGAACGGGUGAGUAAUGCAUCGGAACGUGCCCAUGUCGUGGGGGAUAACGUAGCGAAAGCUACGCUAAUACCGCAUACGCCCUGAGGGGGAAAGCGGGGGAUUCUUCGGAACCUCGCGCGAUUGGAGCGGCCGAUGUCGGAUUAGCUAGUAGGUGGGGUAAAGGCCCACCUAGGCGACGAUCCGUAGCGGGUCUGAGAGGAUGAUCCGCCACACUGGGACUGAGACACGGCCCAGACUCCUACGGGAGGCAGCAGUGGGGAAUUUUGGACAAUGGGCGCAAGCCUGAUCCAGCCAUGCCGCGUGAGUGAAGAAGGCCUUCGGGUUGUAAAGCUCUUUCGGCCGGGAAGAAAUCGUGGUCUCUAACAUAGGCCAUGGAUGACGGUACCGGACUAAGAAGCACCGGCUAACUACGUGCCAGCAGCCGCGGUAAUACGUAGGGUGCGAGCGUUAAUCGGAAUUACUGGGCGUAAAGCGUGCGCAGGCGGUUUGCUAAGACAGGUGUGAAAUCCCCGGGCUUAACCUGGGAACUGCGCUUGUGACUGGCAGGCUAGAGUACGGCAGAGGGGGGUGGAAUUCCUGGUGUAGCAGUGAAAUGCGUAGAUAUCAGGAGGAACACCGA